rnacentral:rRNA from 1 species
GACGAACGCUGGCGGCGUGCUUAACACAUGCAAGUCGAACGGAAAGGCCCUGCUUUUGUGGGGUGCUCGAGUGGCGAACGGGUGAGUAACACGUGAGUAACCUGCCCUUGACUUUGGGAUAACUUCAGGAAACUGGGGCUAAUACCGGAUAGGAGCUCCUGCUGCAUGGUGGGGGUUGGAAAGUUUCGGCGGUUGGGGAUGGACUCGCGGCUUAUCAGCUUGUUGGUGGGGUAGUGGCUUACCAAGGCUUUGACGGGUAGCCGGCCUGAAAGGGUGACCGGCCACAUUGGGACUGAGAUACGGCCCAGACUCCUACGGGAGGCAGCAGUGGGGAAUAUUGCACAAUGGGCGGAAGCCUGAUGCAGCAACGCCGCGUGCGGGAUGACGACCUUCGGGUUGUAAACCGCUUUCGCCUGUGACGAAGCGUGAGUGACGGUAAUGGGUAAAGAAGCACCGGCUAACUACGUG